CAGCUGGGCAGAAAUUAAAGUCAUAGCAAAACUUGUUUACUAAGAGAGGGGUACUUGACUCUACCCAUUUACAGUGAUGUCUAACAUUUGCGGCGGGCAUUAUGAUUGAAACUGCAUUUUCCUGUCUACAUCUAUUUAUUGUUAACCUGAGAAGAACAUCAUGCAAAAGGGUGUCAUCAGGCAUAUCCAUCGGCAGGCCGCAUAAGCAAAGGUGUCACCACCCCUGGG
rnacentral:lncRNA from 1 species